rnacentral:lncRNA from 1 species
AGAGAUCAUUAUAGUUGCAUUUGUAUUCUAUGCAUAUUUAUUAACUAGUAUUUAAUACUUGUUUGCAGCAAAAACUAGAUGUCAAGGGUUUAAGGAUGGAUGAGGAAGUUUGUGCUAGCGUCAAGAAGCUUCUUUCAUUGAAGUCAAAGGAUUAAAGAUAUUGGCUUCAUAUGCGUUACCUUAACCAUGAAAAAGACUCAAAACCAAGUACUGUGAGCACAGC